AUUGAACGCUGGCGGCAUGCCUUACACAUGCAAGUCGAACGGUAACAGGUCUUCGGAUGCUGACGAGUGGCGAACGGGUGAGUAAUACAUCGGAACGUGCCCGAUCGUGGGGGAUAACGAAGCGAAAGCUUUGCUAAUACCGCAUAAGAUCUACGGAUGAAAGCAGGGGACCGCAAGUCCUUGCGCGAACGGAGCGGCCGAUGGCAGAUUAGGUAGUUGGUGGGAUAAAAGCUUACCAAGCCGACGAUCUGUAGCUGGUCUGAGAGGACGACCAGCCACACUGGGACUGAGACACGGCCCAGACUCCUACGGGAGGCAGCAGUGGGGAAUUUUGGACAAUGGGCGCAAGCCUGAUCCAGCCAUGCCGCGUGCAGGAUGAAGGCCUUCGGGUUGUAAACUGCUUUUGUACGGAACGAAAAGACUCUGGUUAAUACCUGGGGUCCAUGACGGUACCGUAAGAAUAAGCACCGGCUAACUACGUGCCAGCAGCCGCGGUAACAC
rnacentral:rRNA from 1 species